rnacentral:rRNA from 1 species
UACGGAGGGUGCAAGCGUUAUCCGGAUUCGCUGGGUUUAAAGGGUGCGUAGGCGGUUAGGUAAGUCAGUGGUGAAAUCUCCGAGCUUAACUCGGAAACUGCCGUUGAUACUAUUUGUCUUGAAUACUGUGGAGGUAAGCGGAAUAUGUCAUGUAGCGGUGAAAUGCUUAAAUAUCGGGAGGAACACCAGUGGCGAAGGCGAUCACCUGGGGUUGUUCUGACGCUGAGGAGCGAAAGCUAGGGGAGCAAACGGG